AUGUUUCUAUCAAAGACAGCCCAAGUUUACACACCACCAGCUGUGGAAGGUAAAGCGCCAGGCCCACCACUGAGCCCCCAACCCAUUGUGCCCAGUGCUACCAAAGAAGGAUGUCUAGCUGAAGUCCACUUUCAAGAUGAAGAACCCAAACACAUGCUCACACAUUUUGCUGCCUGAGGCAAGAGAAACAUGGCAUCCCUUUUAUAUACAGAAGGAGUCAAGACUACAACCAACAGGACACUGUUUUCUGGCAUGACCGUAGCCAACAGGCCACACAACACAUACCUCAGAGACAGAUGGAGUGGUGGCAUCCCCUAAUGUAUCAUAUUUAAUUUUGGAAAGGUGUUUGUUAAAAGACAUGUGCUUAAAGAACUGACUUGAGGCAUCAACCAACUAAUCAGCAGCACUACAUUUUGUUUUAACUUGAUACAGAUUAAACUGGAAAGACCACACCAUGACUGACACCUUCUAAAAACUAAUGUACAUCUAUUGUUUAUCACACAUGAUUUUAUAAAUUUAAUAAAAUUUAAG
rnacentral:lncRNA from 1 species